UACGUAGGGGGCAAGCGUUAUCCGGAUUUACUGGGUGUAAAGGGAGCGUAGGCGGCAAUACAAGUCGGAAGUGAAAUACCCGGGCUCAACCUGGGAACUGCUUUGGAAACUGUAUGGCUGGAGUGCUGGAGAGGUAAGCGGAAUUCCUAGUGUAGCGGUGAAAUGCGUAGAUAUUAGGAGGAACACCAGUGGCGAAGGCGGCUUACUGGACAGUAACUGACGUUGAGGCUCGAAAGCGUGGGGAGCAAACAGG
rnacentral:rRNA from 1 species